rnacentral:rRNA from 1 species
UGCCAGCCGCCGCGGUAAUACGGAGGGGGUUAGCGUUGUUCGGAAUUACUGGGCGUAAAGCGCACGUAGGCGGAUCAGAAAGUAUAGGGUGAAAUCCCAGGGCUCAACCUGGGAACUGCGUUUAAUACUAGCAAGCUAGAGAAAUAGAGAGGAAAGUGGAACUCCCAGUGUAGAGGUGAAAUUCGUAGAUAUUGGGAAGAACACCAGUGGCGAAAGCGACUUUCUGGCUAUUUUCUGACGCUGAGGAGCGAAAGCGUGGGGAGCAAACAGGAUUAGAUA